rnacentral:pre_miRNA from 1 species
AGGAGGAACAACCGCAGUGGCGGGGCCAGCUCUGCAGCCCUGGAGUCAGCUCCCGCAGUAACCACAGAGCUCUCCGUCUGCAGGGCCUGGAUGCUCCCGGGCGGG